UGGGGAAUUUUGCGCAAUGGGCGAAAGCCUGACGCAGCGACGCCGCGUGAGGGAUGAAGGUCCUAGGAUUGUAAACCUCUGUCAGGAAGCAUUAAAUGCACGGGUAUCAACGCCACCCGUGCUUGACUUAACUUCCAGAGGAAGCCCCGGCUAACUACGUGCCAGCAGCCGCGGUAAUACGUAGGGGGCAAGCGUUACUCGGAUUUAUUGGGCGUAAAGAGAAUUAAGGCGGUCAUGUAAGUCAGUGGUGAAAUCCCCCGGCUCAACUGGGGAAUUGCCUUUGAUACUGCGUGACUUGAGGACAGGAGAGGAAGGCGGGAUUCCCGGUGUAGCGGUAGAAUGCGUAGAUAUCGGGAGGAACACCUGAGGCGAAGGCGGCUUUCUGGACUGGUCCUGACGCUGAUAUUCGAAAGC
rnacentral:rRNA from 1 species